rnacentral:rRNA from 1 species
GACGAACGCUGGCGGCGUGCUUAACACAUGCAAGUCGAACGAAGUGGCGAACGGGUGAGUAACGCGUAAUCAACCUGCCCUUCAGCGGGGGAUAACAGUUGGAAACGACUGCUAAUACCGCAUACUGAAGGAGGGGAUUGCGUCUGAUUAGCUAGUUGGAGGGGUCACGGCCCACCAAGGCGGUGAUCAGUAGCCGGACGUAGAGGAUGAACGGCAACAGUGGGACUGGGACAGGGACCAGACUCCUACGGGAUGCAGCAGGGGGGAGUCUUCCGAGAGGGACGAAAGUCUGACGGAGCAACGGCGCGGGAGUGAUGACGGCCUGCGGGUGGGAAAGCGCUGUUAAUCGGGACGCGGUACCGGAAUAGAAAGCCACGGCUAACUACGUGCCAGCAGCCGCGGUAAUUC